rnacentral:lncRNA from 1 species
GCAGAGAACAGAAAAAGAAAAACCGAAUUCAAAUCGCUACCAGAAACUCUAACUCUCUACGUCAACAACUGCGGCGUCGUCGGAGCUCCGGCCACGAACAACACGUGUCAAAACUGCUUCAACGCCACCACAACGACGUCGCAACGCAACGACCAGAUCUAAUUCCGUGACGUCAUCAUCACGUACCGUAGAUCUAGUGUUAGAUGAAUCAAUUGUUGUUGUAGAUUAACAAUUGAAGGAUUUGAAGCGGAACGAAGUUACGGUGGUGAAGAAGGUGGUUAAUCGAUGCUCUGGUUGCCGGAAGAGAGUCGGUUUGACCGGAUUCCGGUGCCGGUGCGGUGAUUUGUUCUGUUCGGAGCACCGUUACUCUGACUGGCAUGAUUGUAGUUAUGAUUAUAAAACGCUGGUCGUGAGGCGACUGUCAAGGAUAAUCCGGUGGUUAAAGCGACGAAAAUUGUUAGAAUUUGAAAGUUUUUAUAUACUUGUUUGUUAUGUUUGAAUGUUGUGAUGUGAAAAGUUGUGAAAUUUGUUAUGAUCACUCGAUGAUGAUUCUUUAUCUGCUGCUAAUUGAGAUUGAAUUGUUAGAUUGA